ACACACCGCCCGUCAAGCCAUGGGAGCCGGGGGCGCCUGAAGUCCGGGACCGNGAGGACCGGCCUAGGGCGAAACUGGUAACUGGGGCUAAGUCGUAACAAGGUACC
rnacentral:rRNA from 1 species